rfam:Dipodomys ordii contig_48186, whole genome shotgun sequence.
GGGAAGGUGGCUCAGUGGUAGAGCUCUUGCCUUGCAGGCAUGAGGUCCUAGGUUCGAUUCCUCAGUACCA